GAUGAACGCUGGCGGCGUGCCUAAUACAUGCAAGUCGAGCGAACAGACGAGGAGCUUGCUCCUCUGACGUUAGCGGCGGACGGGUGAGUAACACGUGGAUAACCUACCUAUAAGACUGGGAUAACUUCGGGAAACCGGAGCUAAUACCGGACAAUAUAUUGAACCGCAUGGUUCAAUAGUGAAAGACGGUUUUGCUGUCACUGAUAGAUGGAUCCGCGCCGCAUUAGCUAGUUGGUAAGGUAACGGCUUACCAAGGCAACGAUGCGUAGCCGACCUGAGAGGGUGAUCGGCCACACUGGAACUGAGACACGGUCCAGACUCCUACGGGAGGCAGCAGUAGGGAAUCUUCCGCAAUGGGCGAAAGCCUGACGGAGCAACGCCGCGUGAGUGAUGAAGGUCUUCGGAUCGUAAAACUCUGUUAUUAGGGAAGAACAAAUGUGUAAGUAACUAUGCACGUCUUGACGGUACCUAAUCAGAAAGCCACGGCUAACUACGUG
rnacentral:rRNA from 1 species